GGUGGCCUAGUGGUUAGAGCGUCCGCCCCGAUUGCGGGAGGUCGCGGUUUCGAUCCCCAACCGACA